GACGAACGCUGGCGGCGUGCUUAACACAUGCAAGUCGAACGUGAUUUUUGUGGAAAUUCUUUCGGGAAUGGAAAUGAAAUGAAAGUGGCGAACGGGUGAGUAACACGUGAGCAACCUACCUUACACAGGGGGAUAGCCGUUGGAAACGACGAUUAAUACCGCAUGAGACCACAGAAUCGCAUGAUAUAGGGGUCAAAGAUUUAUCGGUGUAAGAAGGGCUCGCGUUUGAUUAGCUAGUUGGAAGGGUAAAGGCCUACCAAGGCGACGAUCAGUAGCCGGUCUGAGAGGAUGAACGGCCACAUUGGAACUGAGACACGGUCCAAACUCCUACGGGAGGCAGCAGUGGGGAAUAUUGCACAAUGGGGGGAACCCUGAUGCAGCGACGCCGCGUGAGCGAAGAAGGUUUUCGAAUCGUAAAGCUCUGUCCUAUGAGAAGAUAAUGACGGUAUCAUAGGAGGAAGCCCCGGCUAAAUACGUG
rnacentral:rRNA from 1 species